GAAUACUAUUUACUUGCUCAAACAUAAUUCUUUCGAAUGAAUGGAGGCUAGAAUGAGUUUAGUGCUUAAGUUAUAACUUGUGUCUCCUUUUAAGACAGAGCUUUUUGCUUGUAGUUGUCAUAAGGAUGUCCAAAGUGUGUAGUCCCAAGCUUAAAUUUGGUAUCUAGUAUAUAUAACUUCUGACUUAUAGUCUCUAUCUACUAUUUU
rnacentral:lncRNA from 1 species